GCCAGCCGCCGCGGUAAUACCGGCGGCUCGAGUGGUGGCCACUUUUAUUGGGCUUAAAGCGUUCGUAGCUGGGUUGUUAAGUCUCUUGGGAAAUCUGGCGGCUUAACCGUCAGGCGUCUAAGGGAUACUGGCAAUCUUGGAACCGGGAGAGGUGAGGGGUACUUCGGGGGUAGGAGUGAAAUCCUGUAAU
rnacentral:rRNA from 1 species